rnacentral:lncRNA from 1 species
ACUUCUUUAUAAAAUCAUCAGUCUCAUUGAUCAUGAGGAUACAAUGAGACAGGCAUUAUAGUGUCCUGCCAAGUAGAGAACAUGAAAUGUGUGGAACAUUUUGAGAAAGCAAUUCAACAACAGGUAUUAACAGCUUUAAAAGUGUCCAUGUCUCUUUAUCCAGGAAUUUUCCUUGGAGAUCACAGAAGCAGCUGUCUACUGUGUCUCAAGCCCCUUGCAGAAGGCUGGCUCCCAGGCAGGAGGAGCAAUUGCUUCCCCACAGCCUGGAAAGUCUGCCCGAGACAAGCUCCUACAGGAACAGCAAACACACUUGCCCUUCGCUGCCUCCCCUGCCCCCACCUCACUUCCUCUCCUGCCUUGCUCAGACCCCCUCCCACACCUCUCCCUGGAGUCCGGAAUGAGAUCAGCACCUCCGGACGGGUGUGUGCCAAGUGACCUGCUUAAACUCAUUUGCUCCUGGGACAUAAUUCCCAAGGAAGUACAUUUUAAUUAAACUUUCCGGUAAACACGUCUUUUGCUCUAUAAUAACUCCAUUAAAAAGAGAUCACUGUAAAGAAGCUGUUCUAUCCCAUAAACAUUGAAAACAGACAAACAGGCUCCUGAGCCAGGCUGGCAGCACUGGAGCUUCUCCACUCCACAGCCUCAGCCUCCCUGCAGGUGCCUGCCUGGGUCCUCCUGCUUCCAGACUUUUUCUCCAGGGGUUUCUCCCCACCUGGAAUGCUCAGAGAGCCUCUCUGCCC